rnacentral:rRNA from 1 species
UACGUAGGAGGCGAGCGUUGUCCGGAGUUACUGGGCGUAAAGCGCACGCAGGCGGUCAGAUUAGUCUGUGGUGACAGUCGUCGGCUCAACUGACGAAGUACGAUGGAAACUGUCUGACUUGAGGGCUUCAGAGGGACACGGAAUUCCGGGUGGAGUGGUGAAAUGCGUAGAUAUCCGGAGGAACACCAAUGGCGAAGGCAGUGUCCUGGGAAGUACCUGACGCUCAGGUGCGAAAGCUAGGGGAGCGAACAGG